rnacentral:misc_RNA from 1 species
UUUUGGACUUGCUCUGGAUGUCGGGCUCCCCGCACUUUUGGUGCGGCCAACCGAACAUAGGGCUGUCUCUUCACUCUCCCGGCCGUCACUGAACGUGUCGUGGUCGGGAUGGUUCCGAUCGUUUGCCUGUGCGGUUCUACCCUCUUGUGGGUAGCGAAGUUGUCCCUUGACGGAUAUUUGCUUGCCCUUCUGACAUUUUUGUGUCGUUCGGGCAGCCGAAAUGCUGGUGAGAUCCUYGUGCUGGCGCGUGGCCGGAUGCCGUGUUGCUGUCACUCGGGUCUUUGCCGGCUCUCGCGGAUGCGGUGCCUAGUGCUAGCUCUGUGGGACUCUGCCCCGCAGACUUCGGGAGGUCCCUUGUACGAAUCACUGCUCUUAUACGCCGUUUGUCGUGCCGCUGCCGCGGCGCGCAGAUCGUGUUCUUUCGUGCAGCCGUUGACAGCACGAUAGCGAACAUUAGUGUCCGGAGCGUGGUCCUGUGCAUGCGGAAUGCCUCUCCGAACGUAUGAGCAGCGAUUUCCGGUCCGCGUCGCGCGAAGGCCCCGCCCGUCCGGGUCGGUGCCGGAGCUGACGCGCCGGCUCUCGUUUAAGACGUGCUACCUGGUUGAU